CAGUACGGACUCUUUGCAAUGUCAUUUGGUAGGUUUUCCUAAGUUUAUUAAGUUAGCCAAAUUUUUAUUUCGCGGCGAAAUAUCUUUACGUUUGUUUUUUAUCGGAACGCUUUACCUGUCGCUUGAGCCACAGUAUAGACUAGGUAAGAAAUGCUGGAAACGUGAUUUAUCACACAAGGAACUAUCAGGGGCUGGACUUUUGGGGGGAAAAAAUGAUGGCCACCAGCGUCACGCCUGAAGAUGACCAGAGCUGGAUCUCCGCAGAAGGCUCACUGUAGCUCAAGCAUGGACUGUACCUGGGGAACGUCUCCGCUUUUGCUUAUUGCCGAACAUUGCUGGGGCAGCUGUGGUCCUACAACGCGGACCCGACAUGGAAAUGGCCGCCAGUAAUUCUGAAGCAAAGUCUAGGGGCUUCACUGGGUUGGGGACUUGGCGAAAACUCAAGCUUGGUGGGGGGUCGAGGUAAUGAAAGUGAAGCUUCUCCGUAAGAGUUGAAGCCUUUUUAUUAAAAGGGGCAUAAAUUCCAUCAAAUGGCUACUGGUGCCAUUGCACGGAAUGUGAAUCUCUUACGGUUUGGUCACUACGGUUUAAAGCCACUUGCAAUUCAAGAAUCGUGUAUAUGUUUGGGACAAGUGUUGUGCGUUGGCCUAGAAGUUUUCCUUUUGGUUACAGAAUGUGAAGUAUUUUUCAAUAAAGCUUCAAUGUCUUUAUCUUGAGGUACCAUGUCAAAGUAGUACAGCCCAGCCUAUGAACCACCAGUCAAUCUUGACAUGAUCUCCCUUGCUUGGUUUUAGUCUGGUUUCCGUAGGCCGAUAUUAUCCACCAGAUGUCGCUGUAGUUCAAGUAACGCAUUUUGUAAUGGUUGAAAAUAAAACGCCAUAACCGCUUUG